CGCCCUUUCAUCGGGGUUAGUUGGUAAUCCUUGGUCACGCUAGUUGCUCGAGCCCAACAAAACUUGAAAACUGAAGGUUCUUGCUUUCUUCACCGACUCAUUUAAGUUAUUCAAGUGCCCAUCUAGAACGGGAGGAUAGAUGGAAAAAUAAAUCAUUUGCAUUCCCUUGAUCAGUUUUUGAGUAUGUUUCCUCCACGCAACGGUUCACGAUUUCAACGUCAACGGGAUGUGGCCGAGAGUUGGACUUCCACGGCUCCUUUCAAAUGUUUGCCCUCUCAAGGACACCAGUGGCUGUUGGGUGUGUCGGAACGUGAUCUCUUUGCGAAUGGUUCAUCCAAUCGCUUUAUCAGCGAUAUCCGUGACGAUGGAUCCCAAGUUUGGAGCAUUGGAGCUUGUGAUCGGUGUAGCCCUGAUGCCAAGAGGCUCGAUUGGGGUGGCUUAUGCGGAUGGCGGCCCAUCCAAAGGUUAACGCUGGAUUUGAAUGAGACCCGACCUCUCGUGUUCCCAUCCAUACCUUUGAGUUCGCUUAUGAACUCGACCAACAUUGAGAACUUGCUGUACAUUCAAGAGGAUCCCACUGAGCGAAACAAAAUGACUUCGGAGAUACGAGCUUUGAUCAAUGCCAUCAAAGUGACUCACAUUGUUCAGACAAAAGAUCUUUGGUAGCGAGUUGGUCGGGAGAUCCAGAGCACCCCCGGUGGCAUCCUUUAUCAUCCGGGUCAGUUAGAGUCCUUGAACAUGUCCAUGACCGUCGGCCAUCCAUUUGUGUUCGCCAUGUCUGACGUGUCAGGGAUUGAAGACAUGGCUGUGGUUAAUGCCAUUUUGGCUCAAAAUGGAUUGCCCUUGGCCAGGCCGGUCCUCGACUCCGUUCAAGAUGCUGAGACUUGUCCCGAGGCCGUCUUGCAAUUGUCCAAUUUGACUGAGGAUUUGAACGAAAUUGUGGAAAUGACGGCAUUUCAGACCUAUUUGGAGGGAGGAAAGCAUCUGAUUGUGCGAUGCUUAAACGAUCGAGGGGCACUGUCUCAUCGAAAAUUUCAAAUGUGGGAUCACUGUAUUGAUGGAGUGGAAAUGGGAGCCUUGGAGGAAGUCAUGUUGGUACCUGUAGGUGUGUCCUGGGAGAUGGAGGGAGUUGCUCCUAGAGCUAAAGUGGUCUUUGAACAGCCAAUGUCUUUGAUGGAAUUGUGCAAAGGCUUCUCGCAGGCUUAUCCCAAAGAGAGUGAAAACCGACUGGAACGAGUUCGAUUCAUUGCCAAUCAUGUUCUCGCUACAAUUCACCUUAUUGAACAUGCACAACCAUCCCACAUUCUGAAUGCUCUUGGAGCUCUAUCUGUCACAGAUGAGCACUCGGAAUCCUCCAUGAGAGAUGACUUUUGCGAACUCGUUGACAAAGUGCAAUCCAAGAAACUUGAUUUGGCCUUUUCUGGUAAAGUCCAGGAUAUUCUGAACAUGUGCGAAACCAAAACUGUUGGAUCAAAACCAGACUUGGCUGGGAAUGUAGUGCGUCUUUUUGCGCCCGAAAGUGUCUUGUCUUUGAUAUUGAUAUCACUUCAGCCAUCGUCUCUAACCUUGCCACAAUGGAUUGGAGUGAAUCAGAGAAGUGCGCCAAGAAUCUCCAAGUCUAAACUUAUUGCUGGCUGCCAAUUUUUGUGGAGAAUCGUUCCUCCUCGGUUUCUUUGUGUGGCUCCUUGCCAAGAUUUAACGUUGCUAUUCCAUGAAACCCUCGAGACCAUGGUUGUUGAAGAGAUCCUUCACAUUGAGCAGGAACACGACGGAAGCCACAUGUUGGAUAGGUUUUCAAAAAAUAUGGCCAGAAACUUGGAUCUCGACGAGGAUGAUGGAGAUCAGGGCCUGAAUCUGGAGCAACGACUUCAACAAGUCCAAGUUGUUCCUACAGCCAAGGCUAUCAGGACUCUACUUCGUUAUGCAGAGAUAGUAAAAGCUCACUUUGAGAAUAUGUAUUACUUUUUGGAAAUGGUUCGAAUGGAACCGUUUCAAGUUUACUACGAAGAUCAGAAGGCAAUUCACCCUCUGACUUCGGAAGAAUUCAUCGACCUGGGAAUUUGUUUGGAGAACAUCGGGAUGGCUUCAAAGAAUAGUGAUGGAUCUAUUGCACUGACUGAAGAUUGGCGAAACGAUGUCAGUGGAAUGACUGAUUAUCACAACUUGCUCAGGCUCUUUCUUUAAUCGAAAUAGAUGGUCGGAGGCUCCUCAUCACAUUCGGCAUGAUCGUCAUUGAAAAGGGAUCGUUUGUACAAGAAGCUAACAAUCAAGCAAACCUUGAGUGGCUGAGUGAGAAGGAUGGAAAAGAAGAAGGCCGAAAUCAUUGAGACCAUCCACUGGUAGGCUUUGUCGUUGCCAAAGGACAAUCCAAACGAAAACACGACGAAUGCUCCUCCCAAAAUGCAAACCAA